GAUGAACGCUGGCGGCGUGCUUAACACGUGCAAGUCGAACGAAGCACUUUUACAGAUUUCUUCGGAAUGAAGUUUUAGUGACUGAGUGGCGGACGGGUGAGUAACGCGUGGGUAACCUGCCUCACACAGGGGGAUAACAGUUGGAAACGACUGCUAAUACCGCAUAAGCGCACAGUACCGCAUGGUACGGUGUGAAAAACUCCGGUGGUGUGAGAUGGACCCGCGUCUGAUUAGCUAGUUGGCAGGGCAACGGCCUACCAAGGCGACGAUCAGUAGCCGACCUGAGAGGGUGACCGGCCACAUUGGGACUGAGACACGGCCCAAACUCCUACGGGAGGCAGCAGUGGGGAAUAUCGCGCAAUGGGGGAAACCCUGAUGCAGCGACGCCGCGUGAGCGAAGAAGUAUUUCGGUAUGUAAAGCUCUAUCAGCAGGGAAGAAGAAAUGACGGUACCUGACUAAGAAGCACCGGCUAAAUACGUGCCAGCCGCCGCGGUAA
rnacentral:rRNA from 1 species